CACAUAUUGUGUCCUAUUUUUUAUAGAUUCUAUAAACUUCUAACACCCUCAAGCACUACUUUAGCGAAAUUUCUCGAGCAAAUGUUUGACAUGGUAUGUGUCUUGUCCUCUAUUAAUAAUUACAAAGUAAAACAUAAUAUACAAGUUCAAAAUUUUUCAGAAUUUAAAUCGACGUAGUCGUAUCCUACUUUUUUGAAAAAUCAAGUUUUGGUGUGUAAAUGUCUGUGUGUCCGUACAAACAAAAUGCCCCCAAAACGUGCUCUAUGCCUGAUGCAUUCUUACAUAAAUUUUCUUUGUUCUCAAAAUAAAAUUGAACUUUAUUUAUGAAAAAAUACAUGCGAGUUCAAGAAAUUAUAAGUAAAUAAAGAAAUAUAAUCCUGCAAAUAUUCAAAACAAUUAUACAGUACAAUCAACUUAGAAUACUUGAUGCAUUCUUACAUAAAUUUUCACAAAGCAUAGUUUGCACAAUGCUCAAUGCUCCACACUAAUAUCAUGCAAUAAGAUGGCGUACUAUUAAUUUCUUUCUCAACCUUAUUAAACAUAUCUUGAUAUUAUAGCCUCCAAGAACUAAAAGAAAAGUACCAUUUAAUCAACAACUAAACAACAUAUCAAUGUUUCCGUCUUUUAGCACAAAAAAAGAUAAAUGAUAGUACAACUAUGUGAGUCAUACAGUGAAAAAACCAUGCUAUAUGAUAAAUUAAAGCAAUCUUCUUGAAACUUGCAUUGCAUAUUCAAAUUUUACCCAAUUUUUGUACUCAGGCUGUCUAAAUUUGCAUUUAAUAUGGUUUAUAGCUAUUUUUGGAGGUAGAUAAAGGGGGACUGUUUGCAUAAACUAUAUAAACUACCAUAUCUAUGAUUAUGCCCCGUACAUGGGUUCAAAGCAAGUAAUAAAUUUUAAGGAGUGGGUAUCUAGAACUAAAUUGAUCAUUGAAAUGAAUUUUCCUUAGAUAUCUAUUCUAAAGGAUGCCAACGAGCACUGAGAAACAAGAGAAGAUAACACAAAAUAUGUCCAUGUGAAAUAUUAUGAUAAUUCAGAGCUAGAUAUGGAACUCCACACUCUAAAAUCAAAUGGCAGACAAUAAGUAUAUAAAAAACCAGGCUUCUUUGGCCUGACAAUUGAAAAGCCAAUGGUGGAUCUCGAGAGUGAGAAGUUGCUUCUAGGCCCAUCUGAAUAAUUCUUGAAAGUACUUUGUUUGAAAAGUAGAGCUUUUAGAGGAAACUGAUCCAAAAAGGGCUUCUUAAGAAGCUCUUCUACAACUAUACCAAACAAGCCUUAACUCUCAACUUCCAAUCCUUUCGGUACAGAAUUCAAAGUAAAUUCAUAUUUAAUUAAACCAAAAUUUGCAUAUCAUACCGUGCCAUUCAUAUCUUGUAUUGUAAGACCAAAAUCGAGCAUUUAGUCAAAUAUCUUGCUGCUACAUAUUUUGGACAAAACAAUCAACUAAGUUUCCUCACACCAUGUCCAACCACAAAAUCGUAAUGACAUACACCACAUCUAUACUCGUCUGCAUCACAAUUCACAAUUUUCCGAAGCAACUAGUUAGUUUAAAAGAGUACUUUUUUUAGUCUUUUUCUAGUCAAACGGAAAUCAACUCUUUUUAAAUCACAAUUAUAUCGGGGAAAACAUCAUCUUUCCUAAAAAUUCUUCAAACUUCCAUCAAAAUUACACCAAAAUUACUCGAACUAUUCCAAUCAGACAGCGCCAAGAACUAAUUAUGUUCCAUUAUACAAAAUCAAGAACCACGUGAUUAAAACAAAAGUAAAACCUCAAAUCAAAAUCUAAAAAGAAUUAAAAAAAUUUUAAAAAUACCCAGAUCAGAGAAUUCAAUACAAAAAACACAUAAGGAAAAAAAAAAAAAAAAAAACCCAAAUGCAACGAGAAAGGAAUCCAAAAAUUCGAAUAAGAAAAAACUGGGAUAUAGAAAUAAAGAUUACCAAUAAAUGACGACGAUUAGGAGAACAGUACGGAAAACCGUAGAAUUUUGGGUAGCUACAUAAAUUUAUUUGAGAGACUUUGAGUCAAUGCUUGUUCGUUGAUAUGGAAAUGUGAUAAAUACUAUGUAACUGCAGAAUACAGGUAGUAUCUGUUUCUGAAAGAAGUGUGAAUC
rnacentral:lncRNA from 1 species